CUCUUCCGAUCUGGACAGUCCACAUACACUGCUACUCUGUUAGAGACAGAGGAGGAGGAGAGACGAGUUCCUCUUUUAUUGUGCCAGACAGAGUAACCAUCAACAUCAGAGCAUCUCAGACUCCAGGAAUGAUCAUUCCCUCCAAACCAACAGUCUCUACUGUUUCCUUUCCUCCCGAUUCUUCUGUAACUCACUGAUAUA